GAUGAACGCUAGCGGCAGGCCUAACACAUGCAAGUCGAGGGGUAACAGAGAGAAGCUUGCUUUUCUGCUGACGACCGGCGGACGGGUGCGUAACGCGUAUAGAACUUACCUUUUACAGAGGGAUAGCCUUUAGAAAUGAAGAUUAAUACCUCAUAGUAUUGAGACUUGGCAUCAAGACUUAAUUAAAGAUUUAUCGGUAAAAGAUAGCUAUGCGUCCUAUUAGCUAGAUGGUAAGGUAACGGCUUACCAUGGCAACGAUAGGUAGGGGCCCUGAGAGGGGGAUCCCCCACACUGGUACUGAGACACGGACCAG
rnacentral:rRNA from 1 species